rnacentral:sRNA from 1 species
CGUCGACGACAUGUCGAUAUCCGGUCUUCUGGCCCGUCCCCCGCUGGAUUCCGGAUCAGGCGGCAGCCUCAUCCCCCCUCUCCGGGCUGCCGCUCUAUAUAAUGAUCUGGCCGCUGCGGUACCCCCUCGCCGCAGCGGUCAAGUCUU